GAUGAACGCUGGCGGCGCGCCUAACACAUGCAAGUCGAACGGCACCCCUCCUCGGAGGGAAGCGAGUGGCGAACGGCUGAGUAACACGUGGAGAACCUGCCCCCUCCCCCGGGAUAGCCGCCCGAAAGGACGGGUAAUACCGGAUACCCCGGGCUGCCGCAUGGCACCCCGGCUCAAGCCCCGACGGGAGGGGAUGGCGCCGCGGCCCAUUAGGUAGACGGCGGGGUGACGGCCCACCGUGCCGACAACGGGUAGCCGGGUUGAGGGACCGACCGGCCAGAUCGGGAGGGAGGCACCGCUGAGGAUUCUACGGGAAGGAGCAGAGGGGUAUUCUGCGCAAGGGGGGGGAACGUGGCGGAGCGACGGCGUGUGCGGGACGGAUGCCCUGGGGGAGUAAACCGCUUUCAGCAGGGAAGGGUCAAGACGGUACCUGAAGAAGAAGCCCCGGCUAACUACGUG
rnacentral:rRNA from 1 species